rnacentral:rRNA from 1 species
UACGAAGGGUGCAAGCGUUGUUCGGAUUUAUUGGGCGUAAAGCGCGCGUAGGCGGACCUGCAAGUAAGAUGUGAAAUCUCGAGGCUCAACCUCGAAACUGCGUCUUAAACUACAGGUCUAGAAUCUCGGAGGGGGGAAGGGGAAUUUCGCAUGUAGGGGUAAAAUCCGUAGAUAUGCGAAGGAACACCAGAGGCGAAGGCGCCUUCCUGGACGAGUAUUGACGCUGAGGCGCGAAAGCGUGGG